AUUGAACGCUGGCGGCAUGCCUUACACAUGCAAGUCGAACGGUAACAGGUCUUCGGAUGCUGACGAGUGGCGAACGGGUGAGUAAUACAUCGGAACGUGCCCGAUCGUGGGGGAUAACGAGGCGAAAGCUUUGCUAAUACCGCAUACGAUCUACGGAUGAAAGCGGGGGAUCUUCGGACCUCGCGCGGACGGAGCGGCCGAUGGCAGAUUAGGUAGUUGGUAGGAUAAAAGCUUACCAAGCCGACGAUCUGUAGCUGGUCUGAGAGGAUGAUCAGCCACACUGGGACUGAGACACGGCCCAGACUCCUACGGGAGGCAGCAGUGGGGAAUUUUGGACAAUGGGCGAAAGCCUGAUCCAGCCAUGCCGCGUGCAGGAUGAAGGCCUUCGGGUUGUAAACUGCUUUUGUACGGAACGAAAAGCCUCUUUCUAAUAAAGAGGGGUCAUGACGGUACCGUAAGAAUAAGCACCGGCUAACUACGUG
rnacentral:rRNA from 1 species